rnacentral:rRNA from 1 species
UCAGCCACACUGGGACUGAGACACUGCCCAGACUCCUACGGGAGGCUGCAGUCGAGGAUCAUUUGCAAUGCGCGAAAGCGUGACAAUGCGACGCUGCGUGGAGGACGAAGGCCCUAGGGUUGUAAACUCCUGUCAUGUGGGAAAAACUGCCCCUUCACUAAUACGGAUGGGGUUUGAUGGUACCACAAGAGGAAGCGACGGCAAACUUCGUGCCAGCAGCCGCGGUAAUACGAAGGUCGCUAGCGUUGUUCGGAUUUACUGGGCGUAAAGGGUGCGUAGGUGGUUUCGUGUGUCGGCUGUGAAAGCCCGGGGCUCAACCCCGGAACUGCAUCCGAAACUGCGGAACUAGAGUCCAGGAGGGGAGAGCGGAAUUCAGGGUGUAGCGGUGAAAUGCGUUGAUAUCCUGAAGAACACCGGUGGCGAAGGCGGCUCUCUGGAAUGGUACCGACACUGAGGCACGAAAGCGUGGGGAGCAAACAGGAUUAGAUACCCUGGUAGUCCACGCCGUAAACGGUGCGCACUUGGUGUGGGAGGUAUUGACCCCUCCCGUGCCGGAGCUAACGCGUUAAGUGCGCCGCCUGGGGAGUACGACCGCAAGGUUAAAACUCAAAGAAAUUGACGGGGGCCCGCACAAGCGGAGGAGCAUGUGGCUUAAUUCGAUGCAACGCGAAGAACCUUACCAAGGCUUGACAUCUAGCUGCACGCCUCCCGAAAGGGAGGAAGCUUUCGAAGGUGCUAGACAGGUGCUGCAUGGCUGUCGUCAGUUCGUGCCGUGAGGUGUUUGGUUAAGUCCAGCAACGAACGCAACCCCUGUGUCUAGCUGCCACCGACGGUGAUGAGCCGUCGAGCACUCUAGACAGACUGCCCGUACAAGCGGGAGGAAGGUGGGGACGACGUCAAGUCAGUAUGGCCCUUACGCCUUGGGCUGCACACGUGCUACAAUGGCAGGUACAGAGGGAUGCUAUACGGCGAGGUGGCGCAAAUCCACAAAACCUGCCCCAGUUCGGAUUGGAGUCUGCAACUCGACUCCAUGAAGUUGGAUUCGCUAGUAAUGCCGUAUCAGCUACGACGGCGUGAAUACGUUCCCGGGCCUUGUACACACCGCCCGUCACAUCAUGAAAGCCGUCUGCACCCGAAGUCGUUGAUCUAACCCGCAAGGGAGGAAGGCGCCGAAGGUGUGGGUGGUGAUUGGGAUGAAGUCGGAACAAGGUA